rnacentral:rRNA from 1 species
AACGAACGCUGGCGGCAUGCCUAACACAUGCAAGUCGAACGAGACCUUCGGGUCUAGUGGCGCACGGGUGCGUAACGCGUGGGAACCUGCCCUUAGGUUCGGAAUAACUCCCCGAAAGGGGUGCUAAUACCGGAUAAUGUCUUCGGACCAAAGAUUUAUCGCCUUUGGAUGGGCCCGCGUUGGAUUAGCUAGUUGGUAGGGUAAAAGCCUACCAAGGCGACGAUCCAUAGCUGGUCUGAGAGGAUGAUCAGCCACACUGGGACCGAGACACGGCCCAGACUCCUGCGGGAGGCAGCAGUGGGGAAUAUUGGACACUGGGCGAAAGCCUGAUCCCGCAAUGCCGCGUGAGUGAUGAAGGCCUUAGGGUUGUAAAGCUCUUUUACCCGGGAUGAUAAUGACAGUCCCGGGAGAAUAAGCUCCGGCUACCUCCGU